UGGCUUCGACAUCAGAAGCAAAGAAAGGACAAUCUCUGGUCCAGUGAGUGAUCCUUCAAAGCUUCCAAAAUGGAACUAUGAUGGUUCUAGCACUGGUCAAGCCCCUGGUGAAGAUAGUGAAGUCAUCCUAUACCCACAAGCCAUCUUCAAGGACCCAUUCAGGAGGGGAGAGAAUAUUCUUGUUAUUUGUGAUGCAUACACCCCAUCUGGAGAGCCAAUCCCUACAAACAAGAGACACAAUGCUGCCAAGAUCUUCAGUCACCCUUAUGUAGCCUCUGAGGAACCAUGGUAUAUAUAGUUU